ACUGAAGACACUAGAGACAAACAUCCUCUCUUUAGCCAUUGAACAGGUGCAGUAUAGACAGCAGCAGGAUGAGCUUCCCCACACUGUCCCACCAAUGAACCUCUUCCGUGCUUUGCAGAAACCUUUAGGAGUGAGAAAGUGUCUUAGCCUGUGUGGCCCACCUGAUUUGCUGAAACU
rnacentral:sRNA from 1 species